AUUGAACGCUGGCGGCAUGCCUUACACAUGCAAGUCGAACGGUAACAGGUCUUCGGAUGCUGACGAGUGGCGAACGGGUGAGUAAUACAUCGGAACGUGCCCGAGAGUGGGGGAUAACGAGGCGAAAGCUUUGCUAAUACCGCAUACGAUCUCAGGAUGAAAGCAGGGGACCGCAAGGCCUUGCGCUCACGGAGCGGCCGAUGGGAGAUUAGGUAGUUGGUGGGAUAAAAGCUUACCAAGCCGACGAUCUGUAGCUGGUAUGAGAGGACGAGCAGCCACACUGGGACUGAGACACGGCCCAGACUCCUACGGGAGGCAGCAGUGGGGAAUUUUGGACAAUGGGCGAAAGCCUGAUCCAGCCAUGCCGCGUGAAGGAUGAAGGCCUUCGGGUUGUAAACUGCUUUUGUAAGGAACGAAAAGACUCCUUCUAAUAAAGGGGAUCCAUGACGGUACCGUAAGAAUAAGCACCGGCUAACUACGUGCCAGCAGCCGCAGUAACAC
rnacentral:rRNA from 1 species